rnacentral:rRNA from 1 species
CCUGGCGGCACUAGCGCGGUGGUCCCACCUGACCCCAUGCCGAACUCAGAAGUGAAACGCCGUAGCGCCGAUGGUAGUGUGGUGC